GUAUGGAACUCUAAAUAACAGAAAGCUUCUCUAGGCCUUCAGAGAAAUGUUCUGUCCUGGAUACAGUUUGGACCCUACAGUGGUAAACGGAGGAUGGAUGAAUGUGAACAAGAGGUGGAGCAUAAAGAACCGGAGCGGAGGAGGUGUCAGCCGCGAGGGGUCUUGCAUUUGAGAAAGUGAGACGAGUUCCACAGCGGCACACAUGCACCCUGGGGGCUACGAGGAGCAGGAGCGCCCGGGUAAAGAGCUGCAUUUUGUGAGGUUCCCUCAGGAUCUAGAUGUACAUCAUCCCACUUCGGACAAGUCAUUUUCUGCGGUGCAAAC